GUUUUGAUAGCUUAUACCUAGAGCAUGGCACUGAAGAUGCUAAGGAGAAUUAUUAAUUCUUAAAACA
rnacentral:tRNA from 1 species